AGAGUUUGAUCCUGGCUCAGAUUGAACGCUGGCGGCAUGCCUUACACAUGCAAGUCGAACGGCAGCACGGGGGCAACCCUGGUGGCGAGUGGCGAACGGGUGAGUAAUACAUCGGAACGUGUCCUGUAGUGGGGGAUAGCCCGGCGAAAGCCGGAUUAAUACCGCAUACGCUCUACGGAGGAAAGGGGGGGAUCUUAGGACCUCCCGCUACAGGGGCGGCCGAUGGCAGAUUAGCUAGUUGGUGGGGUAAAGGCCUACCAAGGCGACGAUCUGUAGCUGGUCUGAGAGGACGACCAGCCACACUGGGACUGAGACACGGCCCAGACUCCUACGGGAGGCAGCAGUGGGGAAUUUUGGACAAUGGGCGCAAGCCUGAUCCAGCAAUGCCGCGUGUGUGAAGAAGGCCUUCGGGUUGUAAAGCACUUUUGUCCGGAAAGAAAACGUCGUGGUUAAUACCCGUGGCGGAUGACGGUACCGGAAGAAUAAGCACCGGCUAACUACGUGCCAGCAGCCGCGGUAAUACGUAGGGUGCAAGCGUUAAUCGGAAUUACUGGGCGUAAAGCGUGCGCAGGCGGUCCGCUAAGACAGAUGUGAAAUCCCCGGGCUUAACCUGGGAACUGCAUUUGUGACUGGCGGGCUAGAGUAUGGCAGAGGGGGGUAGAAUUCCACGUAGCAGUGAAAUGCGUAGAGAUGUGGAGGAAUACCGAUGGCGAAGGCAGCCCCCUGGGCCAAUACUGACGCUCAUGCACGAAAGCGUGGGGAGCAAACAGGAUUAGAUACCCCGGUAGUCC
rnacentral:rRNA from 1 species